UCCAUUUUAAAGUAGUGUUUAGUAGUAGUAAUAGCAGUAGUAGUAGUUUUUGGAUUAUGUUUGUUUUUGAAUUUAUGGGCCUAUUUGAGUUUCAUUGUUUCUUGGUUGUCAGUUCAAAUGAGAAUAACAUUAAGUUGUAGGCUACUACAUUGUAAAUGUAUGCUGUGCAGUUUUAGGAGAGCUAAUGACAGGUUAAAUCACAGGUUGUCCAUUUUGUGGCAUAAAUAAUUGAUAAAACACGAAGACCACUUUAUAUUUACCUUACAAGUCUGCACAAUUUCAGCACAAGAGUAGCCUAAUAUUGAAUUAUUGCGAUGGAUCCAUAAAAUUACCUCUGUGACAGAUCAUUAAUCUUAAACCACAUGGAUUUCACAUGCCAUAAUAUCUUAUGUUUUUAUUUAUUUCCUAAAAGAAUGGUUAGCAUAAUCUUUUUUCUUGCUCAGAAUAGGCCUGCUCAACUGAUUCAUAAUGGAUUGCUCUGAAAAUCAGUAUUAUGACACUGGAGAAUGCUACCCUUGUGUGCAGUGUCCACCAGGACAGGAACUCACAGAGGAUUGUGGGUACGGCUAUGGAGCACUGGCACGCUGCAGACCCUGUGACACCCGCUGGUUCAAAGAAGCAUGGGGGUCUCAUACGUGCCAGAUGUGCCAGGCGUGCCGCCGCGUGAACAGGAGAGAGCUGUCGCCCUGCAUGCCCACCAGGAAUGCCGUGUGUGGACCGUGCUUGCCAGGGUUUUACAGUAAGCGAAGGCUGGAUGGCCAGGAGAGUUUGGAGUGCAUGCCAUGUGGACCUCCCCCGUUCAGAGACCCACUCUGUCGCAGAAGUAGCGGAGUUGAGAUGGAAAAAUUCUGGAGACCCCAAACCACAUCUCAGUCCACCACUGCUGCAGUCACCACCUACGUUUGUUUGGCGGUUGCUGCCAUGGUGAUCCUGCUGUCUGUCACCUUGUUUAUGUAUCACAAAUAUACUUCUCUCAGGACAUUUUUUAAAGGUUGCCUGAUACCACACUGUAGCAGCAACGACGCUGAAGCCCCCUCUGUUUUCAUGGAAACACAGUGCCCACUGACCUCGGCGGAAGAGGAACAAGUCUCAGGAGUGACGCCAACACAAACAACCAGUGAUAAGGGAUCACCCAGCAGUGAGGAGGGCUGCAGCUUCUCUGCCAUGCCAACUGCACUCUGUGACUGGAGGGGGCACUUGUCGUGCCCUCCGCACCCGUCCAUCUGCAGCGACUGCUUGUCCGGCCUCACAUCCCAGCCGACCUCGGGACUCCCCACACCGCUGCCUGUAAGUGGCCACCUCACAGCAGUACCGAUGUCUGCCACAGGAGGGGGCCACUGCUCCUCGGAGGAGGGCUCCGGGUGGCUGCAACAGUGGCACGUCCCCGUGGAGUGCACUGAACUGGACAUCCAUGAGUCGUUUCCUCCUGGAGAAGCGGAGCUCCACACAUUCCCAGGGUCGGGAUCAGAGCCAGGGCUGCCCAGGGAAGUUGAGCAUUCCCUGGACCUCUACUCUGCUGUCCCCUUAGACAGCAACCUGGAGCUGCAUGGGUGUUUGGAGACGGGGAGGACCAAUUACACAGAGGAACCAACCAGUUCUCUUUAGGCAUGCCUCUAAGUGACUUACAGGGUUGCUGGUGCGCAGUGGCUGGAUCCAGUGUUUCCUGGAGUGCAGAGCUACCAACAGUUUGCUCAGUGUUUGGAGGUACCUGCAGAGAUGGCUUGAGGGCUCAGAGGGUUCGAGCACGUCUUCCACUACCUCUUGUCCUGCACGCUGUUCACCGCACGGAACAACUGCCUGGCUCAAGGACUACCACAAAUGAGCUGAACGGUCUCCUCACACCCCUGGAACUGAGGAAGUUGCAGCUCUACAUUGCAGUACUGCAGGGCAUCUGCUAGACUGUGACUGAAUAUUUGAUUUAUGA